GACGAACGCUGGCGGCGUGCUUAACACAUGCAAGUCGAACGAAGAGCGACGGAAGCUUUCUUCUAUCAAUCUUAGUGGCGAACGGGUGAGUAACGCGUAAUCAACCUGCCCUUCAGAGGGGGACAACAGUUGGAAACGACUGCUAAUACCGCAUACGAUCUAAUCUCGGCAUCGAGGAUGGAUGAAAGGUCGCCUCUACAUGUAAGCUAUCACUGAAGGAGGGGAUUGCGUCUGAUUAGCUAGUUGGAGGGGUAACGGCCCACCAAGGCGAUGAUCAGUAGCAGGACUGAGAGGAUGAACGGCCACAUUGGGACUGAGACACGGCCCAGACGCCUACGGGAGGCAGCAGUGGGGAAUCUUCCGCAAUGGACGAAAGUCUGACGGAGCAACGCCGCGUGAGUGAUGACGGCCUUCGGGUUGUAAAGCUCUGUUAAUCGGGACGAAAGGCCUUCUUGCGAAUAGUGAGAAGGAUUGACGGUACCGGAAUAGAAAGCCACGGCUAACUACGUG
rnacentral:rRNA from 1 species